rnacentral:rRNA from 1 species
CAGUCGCCGCGGUAAUACGAAGGGUGCAAGCGUUACUCGGAAUUACUGGGAGUAAAGCGUGCGUAGGUGGUGGUUUAAGUCCGUUGUGAAAGCCCUGGGCUCAACCUGGGAAUUGCAGUGGAUACUGGAUCACUAGAGUGUGGUAGAGGAUAGUGGAAUUUCCGGUGUAGCAGUGAAAUGCGUAGAGAUCGGAAGGAACAUCUGUGGCGAAGACGACUCUCUGGUCUGUAACUGACGCUGAGGAGCGAAAGCGUGGGGAGCGAACAGGAUUAGAUACCCCUGUAGUCCCUGUCUCUUAUAC